CCAGAGCUGGGGACCGAACCCAGGGCCUUGUGCUUCCUAGACACAUAAAAGCAUCCCACCGUCUGCACACUAGAUGGGUAAGUAGUUGUUAACCUUUGAGGAGAGCCAAAGACUCGUCCGAGACUCUGCCUAAAGAUGUGGUCACCUUCCAGAGCUUGUGCAGAACCAGCCUAGAAGCUGACUUCCUGAACGUAAACAUGUAAGGACAAACAUGCCUCCCCUGCAUUGCCACUUUUCUUAAGUAGAUAGCUGAUGCUUCCUGGGGCAGAGGCUGGGGGUACCCUGCAAAUUACAAAGUUUUAACUGCUCGGUAGUAACUCUUGAUGAGAUUUGAUUUAUUAAUUAAAUCUGAUCCGGCCUUUAUCACAGCAAAAUGUCCUUCAUCUUUUUUUUUCUUUUUAAUAUGAGGAAUUUAUUGCUCCUAGUUCUAGAGUCUGGAGGUCUGAAAGUUGUGUGGGAAGGCACAGUUCAUUCAGAAGCCACCAAAGAAGGAAACUCUCCUGCCUCUUUCUCCUCUGGCAAGUUAGUCAUGCAGGCUUUCCUAGGUUGCAGUGGCCUACUCCAUUUUUACCUCUUUUUCCCCAUGGGGUUUCCUUGUGUGGCUCUCUCUCUCACAUAAUGUUUUCUCAUAAAGGCUUCAGUCACACUGGAUGAGAAAUUAUACACCCCAUCAGGUACCCAUUUUCACACAAAAUACUUUCAAAACCUUGUUGGCCAAUAUGUCCUUCAUCUUUAUAGUCCAUUGGGCCAUUCUCUCUGAGGCAACAAGUCCACACAAUGUUUUUGCAAGGUGACACCAAAUUCCUCCAAGACUCAUAUUAGAAUAUAUGCACAUUAUAUCCUCUCCCAUCAAGUUCAAAUAAGCAUGCUGCUAAGUCAGAAAUUUUCUGUGUGGUACAGAGAAAAUGUAUUCUGUCCUGUUUUUUCGGCAACUCCUCUGGGAAAGACAGUGGCUGCUGCUGAUAUGCAAAGUAAUGAGGUCCAAUAAUGUGCGCAGUCCUUUGCUCAACAAACCGGAACCCCAUGCUAUGUGCCCGAUAUCACAGGUGCACCAUCUGCCUUCCCUUUGCAGCUAUGUCUUCUCCCUUCCAUUGGAGUAGUUAUGUAAGUGGGACUGAAGGCUAGAGCAGAGAUAAGCGUAUCUGAAAAUGCCCACAGUCUUUCUGAUUCCCACAGGUCUGAGAUGGAUUUAUUUACUGAUACUAAAUACUAAACAGCACGGAAACAGGUAUCAGAAGUUGCGUGCUAAAGAAAAGCAUCACCACCGCCUGCUUUUUCCGAGGUAUUGAAAGGCCAUGUUUUCUUUCAUGGACCAUAUUUUAGAAAGUUGAGCUAAAAUAUUUAACUCUAAUUUCCUUUUAAAAAGAAAACAAACAAAAACAACUGUUUCCCAUGUGUGUUCUUCUUACCACUUAACUCAUUAAAAAGGUUUCCCCCUCCAACCAACCAUCCCAGUUCUUAUUCUACACACACACACACACACACACACACACACACACUUUCUGAUUGCUGGAGUCUGAAAUGACCUGCUCUUCUUCUGCUCUGUUUCUGUUCUCCCUCUGAGACCAUUGCACACUGAUGGGUAGUUUUGCAAGGUCGGGGACAGUCUAUAGUGACCUCUCCACCAUUUCCCACUCUGACAAGCCCACCCUGAAGAAGGGUGGGGAGAACACUACAGCGUUUGUCACUGACAGGCUGACUGGCUGACUCCUGAAUCAUCUUCUGUGUAUUCACAUUCAUACAGCCAGUUCUCAUUUGCCCAUUGUGUUUGUCACAUCAGCAAUGGCAUUGCUGCCUGCUGGAUUAAGCAACAUUGUGCCUCUACUCUUCAUUUUCAAUCAUAAUCUCCCAAUACUAGGCCAACUCUCUACUAGAACACACUGCCACCAUUUUAAAAAUAACUUCCCACUGAAUAAGAGAGGAUUCAAGCAAGGCUUGAAAUAAAAAUGAGCACAGUUAGCUGGGGAAGUCACAAGUAGCAUCUACUCAAAUACGACACAAAUCGAAUACAUUAUGAAGUCAAGCGUGACGUUAAGACCACGUAUCCCAACAAAUUAAUAUUACAGAUGGGAGACACUGGAGAAUAUAGUAUUUGGAUACAAGAAACUAAAAUUUUAAAAUAACAAAUAUCUUAAAUAUAAAAUGUAAAAUAAUGAAGAAUGAAAUAUUGCCUUAAUUCAGGUAGUCAACAUUAAGGAUAAGUUAAGGAAGCAAGUGAAAAGAAUGAGAAUGAAAAUUGCUCGUGCUCUCUCUCUCUCUCUCUCUCUGUGUGUGUGUGUGUGUGUGUGUGUGUGUGUGUGUGUGUGUGCUCUUCCAUCCUGCAGGUAACAAAGGGAGGUAGACCCAGUGGUGCUUGGGACAUUGGUAGUCACCAUUCACUUGCAUGGUGACAGGCACCAAGCUAAGUGUUUUGAUAUACAUUACCUCAAUUUUUUUUUUAUUAAACUAAGUUUUGUAAAACUCUGGUUUGGGGGCUGGUGAGAUGGCUUCCAGAGGUCCUGAGUUCAAAUCCCAGCAACUACAUGGUGGCUCACAACCAUCUGUAGUGGGAUCCAGUACCCUUUCCUGGUGUGUCUGAAGACAGCAACAGUGUAAUAUAAUAAAUACAUCUUUUUAAAAACAAAACAGAACUCUGGUUUUUAAACACACCGUGCCCAGCGAGGUCUGCACCUCCGUACGUAAAGAAUUCAGGAAAACAGAAGUAUUCAUUGUGCGUGGCCUAGUGUGCUGGAAGGUUUGCCGGAGUAACAGUCGUGUUCCUGUGAAAAGACGUAGCACUAGGCUGACUGGUGACUGAGACCCUCGGCUUACACUACCAAUCGUUAUUUACCUGAAGACCAACUCCAUGAGGUGGAAUGCAUACCCAACACUGCUUGUGUAACCAAGAACCUACGUCUGCACAGCCCAGGGGCCUACGGUAAAAUCAAAGCAAAGCAAAGCAGAGCCCUGUGGCAAUAAAAUGGCUCCUGGUGUCACUCUGCUCUACUCAGACCCGGCUGGGCCAUCUCAGGGCAGCUUCCCCCUAAUGCAGUGGAGCAAGUACAGAGAGCACAGCCAGACUUACACAGAGAGGCAGAACCCUCAGUCCUAAUGGGAUGACUCUUUCCAGUCUCUCCCUAGGGGCUCGGGGCUCGGGGCUCGGGCCCCCUCUAAAGUACACAUGGGCUCAGACUGAGGCAGCGUGCACAGGGCCUACUUGGGUCUGAAUCAGAUGGGGUCCUAGAGCUGAAAGGAGAAGCAGGUACAUGCCUGAUUCCGGAAGAUGUCUCCAACUGAUAGUCACUUGCAAAUGAAAAUUUAGUUUUUUGCCAAGGGAGUCUCACUGGGCAAACUAUCUUUCAGGGUAGGCUGUGUGCCCAACAGAGAACAACUCAGAGGCCUCUCUGAAGGUAUCUGGUCUCAAUGUCAUAGCAGGGGGGUUUCUCUCCUUCCGUUUUUUAUUUCACUCUUCAUUUUUUUUCUCCCUUUUUACCCUGCGGGUUUCAUACAUAUUGUGGCUUCUAGCACUGUAUUUUUAUGGGACUCCUGAGUGUGCAGAUGAGGGGGUCUCUACAUCUGUAUCUGUAUUUUUGUGCCUUCUCUUGGGUUCUUUUCCUUGUUUGUUUCUUCUGUCAGAUUCCAGUGUACUGUUUUUAUUUUUAUCUUAUUUUAUUAUAUCUUGUUUUAUUAUUAUCCCUCCUUAUAAGCCAUUUUGUUUUCCAAUGAGAGACAGAAAGGGGGUGGAUCUGGAUAGAAGAGGAAUUGGGAGAAACUGCAAGGAGUAGAGAGGAGAAACUAUAAUCAGAAUAUAUGAACAAAAUCUGGUUUCAAUAAAUGGAAAAGUAUUUUUUUAAAGGAAAAGAAAAGAAACUCUGAUUGUAAUUUGCUCUCCCACGUUUGCCUACCUGGGGAAAAUGUAUAGACUAGGAGAAGCCACUCUACCUCGACUUCCCAAUGUAAACUGAAGAAGUGGCACUGGGCAUUCACACACAGUGAAUAGUACUUGUGAGGCUAGAGGAGCCCACACCGGAUGGCCUGUGAAGGCUGUGUUAGGAUUCCCAGCAGCCAUAGGAGGCUGGAAAUAAGAGGAUCCCUGGAGCUCCCCAGCUAGGCCAGCCAGCUAGCCCACCACUCCAGCCAGUGAUAACUCCAAAUUGAGGGAAAAUCCCUCUAAACAACAAAGUGGAGAGCAGUUUGGACAAACAGGCAGUGUCAACCUCCAUCUUCCACAUACGUGCUUCCACAUAAACAUAUCCACACAAAUACCUGCAUUUACCUCCCGAAAACGCACGCACGAACGCACACACACACACACACACACACACACACACACACACACACACACACACACACACACACACACGGCUUAGUAUUUAUAGUAGGGUUGCUUCUCACUGGCCCUAAGAGUGACCGUUUGUACAUUACCACUUAGACUAUUAUAAAAAUCUAAAAGGAAAUGAAUUUCCUUAAAACUCCUGUCAUUUCCUUCUCAGUUUUUGUUCUGUUGUUAUUUUGUUCUGAACAGGGCCUAAAUUACUUUAAGCAAGUGCUGCACCACUAAGAUGCACCCCCUGCUUUCUGCUUUCUUUUCUUCUUUAAAAAGAAAAGCAAAUGUUCUAAUUUCUCUCUUUGGUAACUAGCAGUAAUUGCUGCUGUGUAAAUUUCUCUAAAUAAUUUUUAACAUCAGCAUGAUUCAUUAAGAAAUAUCAAUGUCCAUGGACGUUUCUCUCUAAAAGAAAUGUGAACAGUAUACUAUAUUAAACAGAAGGUUAUUCCAUAUGAUAUACAGGAAAUAGGGAUUAUUUUAAAAAUCUGCCCAUUUGGGUUAACAAAAAGCAGUUGCCUAAGUGAUACAUACGUAGAAGUUCCUGGAUGAAAACAUAAAAAUACCUGGAUUCUACAACUUUGAUAUAUUAUUGAAGACACUUUUUAAAGAUACCAAAACCAUGAAUGAUAUGCUGCAAUUUGCAUUAGGGUAACGUAUAAAUGUAUAUGAUUGCAUAUACAUAAAACAGCCCAAGUGUCUUAAAAGCCCAAGACACUGGUAACUGCCUACCUCUAGGGAAGUCCAAAAGAAAAGGGGAUGUAGUAGAGAGAAAACUAGAAGACCACAGCACCACGUUCUGCAAACAAUCCUUAUGAGACAGCUUUGUUCAGUUCCUCAGUGACUACACAUGACCUGGCCAAUCGUUUUUCUCCAUUUUGAAAGGCAGUUACACUAAGUCUCUCCAUCUCCAUUUCAACAGAAUUAUGGCUCAACAGGUGUAAAUAAAAAGCCAGCUGGCAAAAGAAAACCAUAAGCCCUGCACUGUAGCAGCUGACAUCGCAGUUAUUUACACUUCUGCCUGCAGGUUUCAUGAAGGCUGUGAACAGCAGUGUCAUCAAGAAUUUGGAACAAAAUCCAGGUUUCCAAGCUUGACAGAGUUUCUCGUCUUUCUGUUCUGUACCAAGCGCGAUUCUAGUUAACAACCAAACUACUGCCUCCCAUACACAUCCCAAUAAAUGAACAAAUCUCAGAUGGACACACAGAGAAGGAACGCAGACUUCUAAGACAGUGUAAAAGUAGAUCCUGAAAUAAGAAAAUGCUGAAAUGAACCCUUUGAUUUCCAUAUCCCCAAGAGAAAACAGCAAAAGAGAAAAGGAUACAGAGAGGCCAAGAGGAAUGGCAUAUAAAGAAACCAAAGCUCAGCUGGCUCCUUACAGGACAAGGGAAAUGGAACAGGCCUAGUGACUUGUUCACUGAUAACCUCAUAUGCCAUUGCGUUAAACCGAUUAAAAGCCUUGGUCUUCAAGGGCUAGAUUUGAUUCAGGAGAACAGAAAAAUUAAUAUGAAUGCAGUAUCACAAAGAAUAAAAGUGAAAAUGAGUAGAAAGGGUGGAUGUUGAAACCUCACUGGAGGAAGAAGUCUCUGUGGGCUAGAACCACCAGGGAUAGAUUUACAGAGGGCAGGCUCUAAAGUCUGUAUGACCAGAAAAGGGACAGUGAGGAGAUCAACAGGAAUCUCUUUGAGUUGGAGGGUGACGAUGAAAGAAGGCAGUUAGUUGGUAAGGUCGGCUUUUAUGGCUUGCUUCUAAGUAGUAAGUCCAUUAGAAAUGCUCAAAAUUAUUUUUUUGAACACUGAGUUGCCAAACCUUCUUUAGAGAAUGAGAUACACGGCAAGGAGGGCAUGCUGCUAAUACGUCCAGACUGACUGGCGGAAGAAAUGGCUGACAGGCACUUGCUGCUCUUCCAGACUAUCUGAGUUUGGGGCCCAGGGCUGCACACAUUGAGCAGCUAGCUCACAGCCACCUGCAGCCCCAAUUCCAGAGCAUUCUACACCAUCCAGCCUCUGCGGAUAGGUGCAUGCAUGUGUGCCUGAGCACAUACACCUAAAUACAAAUAAACUUAUACCUAAAUACAAAUAAACUUAUACCUAAAAACAAAUAAACCAUUUUUAAAGGAGCUGGGUGAGUAGGCUCAACGACAAGAUCAGCAUGCACCUAGAUGCAACCUUUUUUGUAGGCAGGGUCCUGGGAAUGAGAAAGGUUAUUGUUACACAGAACAUCUGGCAACCAUUCCCAGUGUUUUCUUGCAGGUACCUCAUAUCAUUUCCUGUCACAACCUUCAAACUCAGAAAUCAGCUCCACCCAAAAAGCACAAAACCAGGAAAUAAGGGAGCCAGCUUUCCUUUAGAAUUAUGCCCUGGGCCUGCUGAAUGAAAUAAACUCUGAGUUUUUACAAGAAAGUCAUCUAAAUUAAGAUAAGAGGGAAAGCAUCUUUGUAAUCUACUGAUUAAUCUUUGUAAUGGGUGAGCUAUUAUUGAUAACAUACUGAUAAGUCUUGCAACAUCUUUUCAAGCAAAAUCUCUCUCUUGAAUGUUGGCAUAUAGGCAAGAAAGAACAACAUGUAUGAAAAUUCCAUUAAACAAGUAAGGUCUUAAGUCAGAGAAAACAUUCUAAAAUUCUACUCUGUCUUUAUUAUUCACACACCUAAGUGUGCUAGCACACAUAUAACCCUCUCCUAGUGCUAUGCCGGAGUAUGGGUUGCUUUGUGGAAAACUACAUGUUGGGACAGAAUCCGUGUUUACAAAAUUAAAAAUAAAUGUUUAAAACACUAGUAAAAGCUAAUCGUUAUACUACGAUUCUGUGACGCAGCAGUCUGUUUUGUAUUGUUUGAUGGGAAGGCAGAUCUUCUAAUAUUUAGUGAUUUGUUCACAGUUAAAACAUAAGAGGAAAGAAACUAUUUUUAAGAAAUUUGAACAAAAAAUGAUAAAGCCCGCCCCAUUCAUCUAUAGAUCCUGUAAGAACAAAGGCAUAGCUUACUCUAUCUCCUUCUAAUUCACGUCUGUCAGCAUUCUAUUGUUGAGCUUAAGCUGUAGGGUCAGACUUGUCCAAACUUUACUGAGAGGACACGUGGUCUCCUGGGAAUUCUUCCCUUUAAAAUCAGAUUUUAAAAGACAGUCCCCAAAAGUGGACAGCUCAAAGGGUAUGCAGACUUACAUUUCUGUACUGAAUGUGUGGGCUCAAUGAUAAGUAGUGCUGACCUCCUAAAAGCUGCCUGGUGAGCCUUCCUGAGGACACCUCGGUGUACAGUAAACAAGUGUCUCCACAUCUCAGGACAAAGCAUUCAUCUGAACCCUGGUGAUGGCUCAGAUCCGAAGUCAAAGCAAGUUCUAUUGCUAGGUUCUUCCUUCGGGCAGGUAAAACAAUGAAAGAGCAGUGAAGUUCAGAAGAAUGUAUAUAACAAUGUUCUAACAUGGGAUCUCAUAAAACUACAAAGCUUCUGUAAGGCAAAGGACACUGUGGUUAGGACAAAACGGCAACCAACAGACUGGGAAAAGAUCUUUACCAAUCCUACAACUGAUAGAGGGCUCAUAUCCAAAACAUACAAAGAACUCACAAAGUUAGACAGCAAGGAGACAAAUAAUCCUAUUAAAAAUGGGGUUCAGAGCUAAAGAAAGAACUCACAUCUGAGGAAUGCCGAAUGGCUGAGAAGAACCAAAAGAAAUGUUCAACAUCUUUAGUCAUAAGGGAAAUGCAAAUCAAAACAACCCUGAGAUUUCACCUCACACCAGUGAGAAUGGCUAAGAUAAAAAACUCAGGUGACAGCAGAUGCUGGCGAGGGUGCGGAGAAAGAGGAACACUCCUCCAUUGUUGGUGGGAUUGCAGACUGGUACAACCAUUCUGGAAAUCAGUCUGGAGGUUCCUCAGAAAAUUGGACAUUGAACUGCCUGAGGAUCCAGCUAUACCUCUCUUGGGCAUAUACCCAAAAGAUGCUCCAACAUAUAAAAAAGACAUGUGCUCCACUAUGUUCAUCGCAGCCUUAUUUAUAGUAGCCAGAAGCUGGAAAGAACCCAGAUGCCCUUCAACAGAGGAAUGGAUACAGAAAAUGUGGUACAUCUACACAAUGGAAUAUUACUCAGCUAUCAAAAACAAUGACUUUAUGAAAUUCGUAGGCAAAUGGUUGGAACUGGAAAAUAUCAUCCUGAGUGAGCUAACCCAAUCACAGAAAUACACACAUGGUAUGCACUCAUUGAUAAGUGGCUAUUAGCCCAAAUGCUUGAAUUACCCUAGAUGCCUAGAACAAAUGAAACUCAAGACGGAUGAUCAAAAUGUGAAUGCUUCAGUCCUUCUUUAAAAGGGGAACAAGAAUACCCUUGGCAGGGAAUAGAGAGGCAAAGAUUAAAACAGAGGCAGAAGGAACACCCAUUCAGAGCCUGCCCCACAUGUGGCCCAUACAUAUACAGCCACCAAACUAGAUAAGAUGGAUGAAGCAAAGAAGCGCAGGCUGACAGGAACCGGAUGUAGAUCUCUCCUGAGAGACACAGUCAGAAUACGGCAAAUACAUAGGCGAAUGCCAUCAUUAAACCACUGAACUGAGAAUGGGACCCCCGUUGAAGGAAUCAGAUAAAGGACUAGAAGAGCUGAAGGGGCUCGAGACCCCUUAUGAACAACAAUGCCAAGCAACCAGAGCUGCCAGGGACUAAGCCACUACCCAAAGACUAUACAUGGACUGACCCUGGUGACCCUGGACUCUGACCUCAUAGGUAGCAAUGAAUAUCCUAGUAAGAUCACCAGUGGAAGGGGAAGCCCUGGGUCCUGCUAAGACUGAACCCCCAGUGAACUAGAUUGUUGGGGGGGAGGGUGGUAAUGGGGGGAGGAUGGGGAGGGGAACAGCAAUAUAGAAGGGGAGGGGAAGGAGCUAGGGGGAUGUUGGCCCGGAAACCGGGAAAGGGAAUAACAAUUGAAAUGUAAGUAAGAAAUACCCAAUUUAAUAAAGAUGGAGGAAAAAAAAGUAUAUAAAAAAAGAAUUCACCAGCCCAAAAGCUGCAGCUCUGAAACCUAAAACUAACACACUUAAAUCAUGUGGCCUUUAAUAGCAUCUUUUCUCCCUUAUACUCUGGCUAAGGAUGCUUAAUUAAGUUAAUCACAUGGACUAUACCCUACUUUUUAGGGUAUAUUGACUUUUUAUGUAUGGUGUAUGUCGUACGUGAACAUGAGUGUAUAGGGGCAUGUGCCCAUUCAUGCCCAUGCAGUGACCAGAGGAGGACAUCAAGCAUCUCCCUCGGUUGCUAUAUCAGCUAGACUGGCUGGCAGCUUCUGGAAUGAAUCUAGCUAUCUCCAAGAUCCUGGGGUUACAGGUACAUUCAGCUGCUCCCAGCUUUGCCUGCAUGGGUGCUGAGAUUCAAAUUUAGGUCCCUGUGCCCUGGCCCCUACUUUAUGCUGUCUGAAUUAAAACACAGGCCAUUCCUGUCUGGUCAGAGGCAUAGCGACUGUUCAAAAAGAAUGCCUUCACUUCGAAACUAUGGGACUCAACAAAAGAAAAUCCUGUUCACUCCAAGAACACUAACAAAUUGUUUUGUCCAAAAAUAAAAUAUUUAUCUUUAAAAGAUUGAUGUGUUAGGGCUAGAGUGAUGGCUCAGUGAUUAAGAGCACUGAUUGUUCUUCCAAAGUUCCUGAGUUCAAUUCCCAGCAACCACAUGGUGGCUCACCACCAUCUGUAAUGGGAUCUGAUGCCCUCUUCUGGUGUGUCUGAAGACAGCUACAUAAAAUACAUAAAAUAAAUAAUUCUCUAAAAAUCAAAAAAACAAAAAGAAAAGAUGUCUUUUAAAUUAUCACAGAUUUAUCUCAGAUGCUUUCUGAGUAAGUAAAACACAUCAAUGAAGUCCCAUUUCCUCAUGUUAUUACAACUCAUGUGCCACUUCUGAGGUAAUAUCAAAUGCUCUGUUACUUAAGGAGAGGCAAAGCCACAGAAAACCAGUGCAAGCCAGACACCAUUUCUCAAAUGCGCCAUUGAAAUAGAAACAUAAAACCUAGGCAUUACCCUAAAUUACCAAAUAAACCAAAAGAGUGCAAGAAGUAGUAGUUACAUUGACUCUAUCGUUCUGUCUGGUGACUGCUUUAAACCCUGUGGCUUCCACAUCUGCAUCAAUACUAACAGUUCUUAAAUGGCUACCAAGGGCAGUUUUUCUCCUGACUGCUGAACCUGAAUGUUCUUCUCCUGUUGAGUAUUUCUACUUAGAUGUGGGGCGAGCACCUCAAACUCAACACAUCUAAAAGUUAAUUCAUUCACUCUCCUUCUCCUCAAUUCCCUACCUUGGAGAAUUCUGCCCAACUAGAAUGCCUGAAACUGGAAUUAUUCAUUUCUUAUCUCCAUUGUCCAGAAAAUUCUACUCCUGAAAUUGUGUUGGCAGCCUUCUCUAGUCUUAUGAUAUCAUGUAAAUUCUGCCAUUUACAUGAAUUUCAGCUCUGUCACUCUUACAAGCUGAUGUUGGUUCCUAAUUAAUUUUUCCACCAUUCACACCUUUUUACUCCAUAUAUGUCUCCUCAGAAACAUAUGAGAAAACCCAUUUAAAAUUCUUCAGUGGUUACUCCUAAUCUUGAAAAUAUAAUUCAAAGUAUUUACUGGGUCCACUGUCUAAUCUCAUACUCCUUCCCUUAAUCUAAUGUUUCUAGUCUCUGAAUCUAUCUGGGAAUUUUUUGUGCCUAACUUUCAAAACUCAAGGAUGAACUUAGGAAUUAGAAGUGGCUUGCCCCCCCUGUGUGCCUUAAGAACACACCUCUGUGUCCUUACAGUGCACUCCUCCCACAACAGUUGAAAGCAAACCUGUUUCCUAGCACCCAAGCCACGCACACACAAAGCUGAGCUCAAAUGUCUAUAGAAUGGAUGAUACAGAACAGUAUGCAGAUGAGUGACAGAACAGCGGGAGCUGCAGAACGCAUAGUCCAUGAAGUUCUUAGGCAUUUGAUAGCUGAACAAGUGCUAUGUGGGGGUUGGGGGAUAUUUAAUCAAGACAUAUUAAUAUAAUACCAGCAUGGGAAAGACUGAGGCAGGAGGAUUUGUGUUCAAGUCACACAGUAAGUUCCACACUUGUCUGAGCUAUAUUACAAGACCUUGUCUAAAAAUCAACAUAAAAACGUUUAAUUCACUUAUGACUGAAAUACUAACUUCUCCACUGUUAUUUUAACAUUUCUUUCAUUUUCUACUCAUUAAAGUUUAAACACAUUUUUAAUCUCUAAAAGGGACAUAAAUACCAAACUUCAGAUACAACUUGUCUCACAAGUAACAAACUCUUUCAUUAAUAUGUGAUACAAAAGUGUGAUUCAGUCAGGAAUCUGGGCUAAUGGGCCUAGCAAACACCUGCUUGACUACAUGCCUAGGACACCACCCAUGCACCACCCUACAACCCCCACUGUCCUGCAGUCAUAUUGGUAAACUUCCUCUCACGCAUCACAGCCCCAAACAAAACUCGGUUUUGGUUUUACUUCCAGGUCUUUUGAUGUAUUCACUAUAGAAGUAGACAGUUUCAUAGUCUUGAAAUAACUAAAUGAUCUGUGCUGAUAAGAAUUUAAAAGAACUCAAUUUCACUGGAGUUGAUGACAGGAAGCUAAAGGAUCUAAGGCUAUGACACAUGACAGGAAGGUCACACAUUUUUAAACAUGUAACAGGCAUACUGAUCCAAAAUUCUGAAGUCUGAAACUUUUUGAAUGCCAAUGACAACACAAAUAGGAAAUUCCCAACCUGACCUUGUAUGGUAGCUCAUAAUCAAGUGCAGCCACAUUAAAGAUACUAAGUAAAACCUUCAGACUGUAUGUGGAGUGUCUACAAAACAAAAAUGAACUUCACUUUUCAUGUUAGAUCUUAUCAGGUAUCCUAUUAGUUUAUAUGUAAAUAUCCGAAAUUCAAAACCAUCCCAAAUCUGAGAUAAUUCAGGUCUCAAGCAGUUCAGACAAGACAUAACCUGUCCAUAGGGUUAGCUGCCACCACCAGAAACUACAGUCUAUACACAAGGAGACAGCCCAGCCCAGACACCUUUACCCAGUUUCAGAUUUCCAUAGGCAAUUCAAGUUCAUAUUCUGGCUGAACAACCACCCACUAACAUAACCCAAGAACCCGGCCUCACAGAACUCCUUUAAGAACCAAACUCCUCUUGUACUUUGAAAGUAAGAAUUGUCAUAAAAGCCAUGUAACCCAAGUAUGCAAAUGUGUUUUGAGUCUAAAUUAAGUCAUAAAUACAGAUUAACAGUGAGAGUCUCUCAAUAAAGAAAUGGCCAUGGAAUAUUUCUAGAGAAGUUUUAGAGAACACUAAACUGACAGACUCUACUCAAAACUCAUUUCCUAAGCAAAUACUAUUUACUGGUUACAUAUUGUGUAGUGGAUGCUGUGCUGGGCAUGAAGACACAGGACAAAUGGAUAUGCUUCUCUUAAAUGGUCUUCCUAGUUAGGGAGACCUCACCAUAAAAUAACACUGAAAUAACUGCUAAAAGGGAAAAAAUGUAAAGUGGGACUGAUAUCCUGAAGGGACAGCGACAACUGCCAUGGAGACAGGGAGAGCAGGUCCUCAGUAGAGAUGGGAGGUAAUACAAGGGAAACUUCAAAUGAGUCUACAGUUCCUUGUAUGAGUGUGAGUGACUCAGGCUUUCCACUCCAGAAAGCCUCUUGCUCCACCUGAGGUGACCCACCAUGUAAGCACAAAAUGGUUGGUUAAGACGGUUAUCACCUUCAUCACUAUGCUGCUGCAGACAUGACACAGGUGAUCUAAGUCAAGAGAGGACAGAGGUCAGGAAAGGUAGGGCAGAACUGAAAUGGUAGGGGCUGAAAGAAGAGGGCAGGCUAAGAGAAGAAUGAGAUGCUGGUUUUCAGGUAGGAAGAAGACAGGCAACUCUCAUUGCUAAGGUGAAUAAUCAGGAAGAAUAUCUUUGUAAGAAAAAUAUAAAACUAAAUAAUGUCCUAAAGGGAAGAAAAUUUAAAACAUGUCUUAUUGACAAGCAACAUUUAAGCUGAUUCUUGAAAAAUGAGUAAAUUAGUCACAUAAUGAACAUAGGAAAUCAGCUCUGGCAACAGCAUGGAGGAAAGGGAGGAAAGCGAGGGAACAAGGUUGGUUAAAAGACUGUUACGAAAGGGAAUGUUAGAGACAAGAUCUAUACUGAAAUACUAAUGGAAGCAAUAGCAGGAGUCAAACAUGAAACUUUCAGAAGGAGGAUACACACUGAUCAGCAAGAGUGUAGGGAAAAUAUCAAGAUACUUUCCACAAUUCUGAUUAGCCAGGUAACUGGAAGGGCAUAUAUGAGAACUAUUCAACAGGGAAUACAGAAAAGAAAGGUGAGUUGGAAAGGAUGAUAAUUUAUUGAAAAGAUGAGUUGCAUUUUAUAAAAUUCAGUGGGUAUGCAUUAAAGGUCAAUUAAAAUUUAUCAAAGAUCAUUAAAAGCAUAUUUGUACAAUAUGCAAUUAGUUACAGAGCAAUAGUCAAUAUAGCACUUCUGUAAGUUUGAAAUUGCAAGCACUACUUAAUAGCAAUGUCACAACUGUGAGACCCACACAGAGAAUAUAGGUACAAGCCAUAGUAACAGACCUAAAUAGCAACUCAUGAUUAAAGGCUAUGCUCAUUAGACAAUGAACCCAAAGCCAGGAUAGACUGUGGACUACUGGUAAACCUGAAACUGAUGUCCUGUUCUGUUCCUCCCUUCUUUUAACAAUCUCCUAUAGCACAAAGCACUGGCAGCACUUGCCUAUAAGUUGUUCUUAUAGCCACAGCCUAAUGUUCACCAGGAAAAAGGAGUGGAGAAGAUGGGUAGAAAAAGAGAGGGAUAGGGAAAAGAGAGAUAGAGGAAUGGAGGGAGUGCUUCCCUGAAUUUCAUGACUUAGAACUAUACAUUGUUGAAUAAGAUACUAACAGUUAAGAAACUAUUAAACUAUUAAAUGGUUCUGCCAAAAAAGGCAUCAAGCUCCAAUACAAAUUAAAGGCCCAUAAAAUAACGGUUUGCUCUAACUUAAUAAACUGCUGUGUAUCUUGGCUUUAUCUUAGAUGUUACAUCUGACUUUACAUUAAACAGUUAGAGUAAUGCCCCCUCAAAAGGCCACAAACAACAUAUGGCCAAGCAAGAUAACCAGAAACUAGGUGCUAGAAAGUCCUUCAGCAGUUACUUGAUACCAACUUCACUGAUCACUACAAGAGUCACUGGUGUUCUUGGACUCUUAAAUGAGGGGAAGAAGAGCAAGUAUAUUAGGCACCUGACUUUCCCGGAGUAACCACAUGGCAGGACCAGCAGAGAAAACCUGCCCAAAGACUACUACACGACAGACACGCCAGCAAGCUCUGACGCCUAGCAUGAAAGAGAAAUUUGCUCAAAUAUACCCAAUUCAGUUAAUCAUAUUUUCCCUUAAGAGCCUGAACCUAAGCUACAUGGGGGAAGGAAAGCAGAUAAAAGUAACAGGAAAGGCAGGGAGUAUAAUUGAUGGAAGUAGUCUCCAACUAUAUUGAGAAGACAGUGAGAUAUCUUUUUAAAGUAGUCUUAAAAGAGCUAGAAGAGAAACAAUACAUCUUGUCGCCAAGACAGCAAUACCCAAUCACUAGAGUUGCCUCGAUUUCCCCCUUAGAUUUCAUAUCGCCUACCUAGUGAAAAUCUAGUGAAGCCAAAGUGAUGGGAUUUCCACAAGGCCUGGCCACUUCUGUCUCCCUUACGUUCCUCACAUAAAACUUUCAGAAAAACCUCCUCCGCCUACCAGAUACAAGUUAAACAAAAUUAUGUAUUUGCAACCAAAAAAGGGGGGGGGGGGGAUGAAAGAUCCUAACAGCUGCUUUUUGAGCACAUGUACUCACACACCAACUUUUAGAUACUAGACAAGCUAGGUGGUAGCCAGCAAUCCAAGCCUUCUCAUUCUCAAACUAUUUUAUAGUAUCUGUGGUUUAGGUAUAAUGUUAACGAACCCUAGUUACCUAGCCUAGAGAGAGGAGCUCAGAAAGAAUGAUAAACCUUAAAAGUUAACAACUUAGGUCUGAGGAAAGGAGUAAAGAGCCUAUUGUGAGGACCUGGAUUUGGAUCCCCAGCAUCUACAUAAAAAGUUAGGCAUGGGAGCCUGUGUAUGCAACUCUCGUACAGGGAUGGGAAUUUGGGAAAAACAGGUAGAUUCCUCCAAGCUAGCUUCAGUCUAAACAAGCAGUAAGAGCCAGCUUCUGUGAAAUACCUGUCCGAAACAUAAAAGUAGAAGGCAAUCAUGCAGGACACCUGACGUCAACCUCUGGACUGCAUAUGUAUGUGCACAAGUAGGUACACACAUAUCUGUGUGCACACAUGUGCACACACAAAAAUUAACUCUUCAUUACAAAUUCCAUACUUCAAUAUUAACAAGAGCACCAGAGUCUUUAUAAGAAACAAACUGAUCUCGUUUAAAAGCUCCUCAUUCUGUGUGUGCAUAAAUGUUUGUGUGACGGGCUGGGGAUUUAGCUCAGUGGUAGAGCGCUUACCUAGGAAGCACAAGGCCCUGGGUUCGGUCCCCAGCUCCGAAAAAAAGAAAAGAAAAAAAAAAUAAAUGUUUGUGUGACAAUUUUUGUGGUAAAUGAACUGACUUUCUUAGCAUUCCAUUGAAUAAAUGUUGAUUAGUCAAGGUGGUCAUGCCCAGAAAUGACAAUUGGAAAAUAUGAAGAUGCUUUAUGAAAAAGUGGCGACCCGCUGGCCUAUCUCACACCCUGAACCUUGCCCACAGAAAAGAUAAUCAUCAGACAUUCUCAACAUGAACCCAUGGAUGCCCAGUGGGCAGCAUACCACAGAACUCCAUAUAUUAAUAAGCAAAAAAAAAAAAAAGAA